GAGCUCAGUCGAUAGAGCAUGAGACUCCUAAUCUCAGGGUCGUGGGUUCCAGCCCCAUGUUGGGCA